rnacentral:rRNA from 1 species
UACGUAGGGUGCGAGCGUUGCCCGGAUUUAUUGGGCGUAAAGGGCGCGUAGGCGGCUUGGCACGUGGAAGGUGAAAUCCCUCGGCUUAACCGAGGAACUGCCCUCCAAACUGCUUUGCUUGAGGCCGGGAGAGGUGAGUGGAAUUCCCAGUGUAGCGGUGAAAUGCGUAGAUAUUGGGAGGAACACCAGUGGCGAAGGCGGCUCACUGGACCGGUACUGACGCUGAUGCGCGAAAGCGUGGGGAGCAAACGGG